GGCUCAGAACGAACGCUGGCGGCAGGCUUAACACAUGCAAGUCGAACGCCCCGCAAGGGGAGUGGCAGACGGGUGAGUAACGCGUGGGAACAUACCCUUUCCUGCGGAAUAGCUCCGGGAAACUGGAAUUAAUACCGCAUACGCCCUACGGGGGAAAGAUUUAUCGGGGAAGGAUUGGCCCGCGUUGGAUUAGCUAGUUGGUGGGGUAAAGGCCUACCAAGGCGACGAUCCAUAGCUGGUCUGAGAGGAUGAUCAGCCACAUUGGGACUGAGACACGGCCCAAACUCCUACGGGAGGCAGCAGUGGGGAAUAUUGGACAAUGGGCGCAAGCCUGAUCCAGCCAUGCCGCGUGAGUGAUGAAGGCCUUAGGGUUGUAAAGCUCUUCACCGGAGAAGAUAAUGAC
rnacentral:rRNA from 1 species